rnacentral:lncRNA from 1 species
ACUUGUCAUUUAGAUCUGAUUAGCUGCAUGGUGACUUUUCUGUUGCAUUUGAUACCAUGAUGCUUUAUUGAUCAAUGACAGGCAUGUGUAUUGUGUCACAAAGUACUAUGGAUCAUUGGCAGGCAUUUGCUAUACUGCUGCUGAAGGGGGACUUGAAGUUAGGGACUUGUAUGUUACCAAGGUUGCCCUUCAAAACAAAAGGAUUAAAAGCUUACUUAACCAUGAAGAAAUUGUUUGCAAUAAUCUUGUCAUGGCUAAAUAUGAUUUUUAAUCUUUUAGGAGCUUUCAAUAUCCUAGGAGAAUGACUUGGAGUUGGAAUUUGUUUUUGACUGCUAUUGUACAACUUACAUCUGGAUAUGUCAAAGUAAUUUAGUGUGGCAGAUCCACUAGUAUUAUGAAUGGUAGUUGGGUGUCUUGACACCCGUGUAUGAAACCUACUUUUAUUUCUGUUG